rnacentral:lncRNA from 1 species
CUCAAUCGGACCAAAAUGAGACCAACCCACCUCUUCGUCUUCGAUGAUCAUGUUGUGUAAAAUAAUGCACGUGAAAAGCUAAAAUAAAAUAUAGAAUUUUAAAAUUUAAAAUAUUACAACAAUUAAAAAUUAGGUGAAAAUUUUAAAAAAUAAAAUUUAAAAUUGGGAUUUUAAAAGACAAAAAAAAAACAAAAUUAAAAUUAAAAUACAAAAGCAAAACCAAAAAAGAAAAUUUUAAAAGCCUACCCCACCCAGCCGACAUCCCCUCUUCUUCCCCAACCCACCUUUUUUUCUCAUCUUUUUCCCCCAUUGUUGCACUGCUUCUUCUUCUUUUUUCGCACUCUUCAUUUUUUUUUAUUAAAUCGGCGCGUGUAGCGCAUGAUUUCGCCAAAAUCCGCCAACGACCCGCGUCUUGCCUUCGACGCCGCCUCGCAUCACACCGCGUCUCCAGUGCGGCACACCCUUCUUCGCCCCGCGUCGACCCAGCGCUCGACAC